GACGUAGGGCGCGAGCGUUGUCCGGAUUUAUUGGGCGUAAAGAGCUCGUAGGCGGCUCGUCGCGUCGGCUGUGAAAACUUGCGGCUCAACUGCAAGCUUGCAGCUGAUACGGGCGGGCUAGAGUUCGGUAGGGGAGACUGGAAUUCCUGGUGUAGCGGUGAAAUGCGCAGAUAUCAGGAGGAACACCGGUGGCGAAGGCGGGUCUCUGGGCCGAUACUGACGCUGAGGAGCGAAAGCGUGGGGGAGCGAACAGG
rnacentral:rRNA from 1 species